rnacentral:tRNA from 1 species
GCGGGUAUAGCUCAAUUGGCUAGAGCGUCGCCUUGCCAUGGCGAAGGUUGUGAGUUCGAACCUCAUUACCCGCUCCA